rnacentral:tmRNA from 1 species
GGGGGUGAUCCGGUUUCGACGGGAUGCGUUGAGGUCGGGUUGCGUGUCGAGGACGGCUGGUUGGCCUCGUUAAUCAUCCGGUCAAAACUGUAAUUGCGAACAACGAUUACGCUCUCGCCGCCUAAUUAACGGCCGCGAUGUCGAAGCGCUGACGUCCGAUAAGCGCUGAGGCAUAAUUCAUCGGGCUACGUUGCAGGGCUCUCCGCUCGGGCGCUGCAGGGUACCGAACCGAACGGAUGGUCGGGGCUUAGCGCGUGUGUCCGCUUGCUCCUUCCGAGAUUAAAGGCAUAAUAAACACGUAGACGCUCGGUUGAUUCCAUUUCGGACAGGGGUUCGACUCCCCUCACCUCCA